rnacentral:lncRNA from 1 species
GGCCGGGGCUCCCCGCUCCCCAGGGCGUGCGAGGCACGGGGGUACCGGGGAGAAGCGGUGCCUGGCGAGUACCUGUGAGCCCCUGUGGCUCUUCCACUGCUUCAGCUGGUCCGCAGCUUCGUCCCGCCCGUCGGCCAUUUUGCAGUCACUGGAGACCCCCGAGGCAGCAAGAGCGGCGCGAAGCGGCGGGGCUCUUCGCUUCCGGCGAGGAGGCAGCGGCGAGGAGCUGAGGCCGUGGGCCGGUCACGCUGUCACCCCGUGGGGACCCCGCGCCGUCACCGCGUCCCGUCCGCAGCAGCCGCGGGUAGCGGGAGACUCCGCCAGUACAGCUCCGCUCUCGGCUUGAGCCCGCCCCCCGCUACCUUCUUGACCAAUAGGAUCGCGGUCAGCCGCCAUUGUGUGUUUUGAUUGGCCUAAGGGCGCGUCAAUUAGGCGCGAAGGCCCCGCCCACUCUUCACGCUGAGGGGACAGAGGCCAGCGGCGCCGUCGCGUUCCUUUGAAAUUGCAAGGAACUUCGCCAAUAUGGAGUUGCGAAAGGGAUUUUUCAGCUAUAUAGUUAUAGUUUUCAGCUAUAAAGUGUUGAGAUACUGGAACUUUCUAAAGCUGAUGAUGAUGGAGAUGUUGUUCAAUGACAGACGAAGUUACAGUACCUCGGGAACCUUUUGCACUCAUCCUUCUGCUGUCAUGCCUGGUGUAAACAUCAGGGCACAGAAAAAGCAUGGAAAGAGCAACAAAGAAUAACAACAUGCCAGAGGAUUGAGGGCUGGCAAUUACACAGC